AAGACUAUACUUUUGGGGAUCGUUUCUAUCGUUUGUUACUCUAGAAGUUUCUCUGAACGUGUAGAGCGCCUGAAACCACGAGGAGACACACUUCACACAGCAGUCUCUCCUCAGCGUGAAGCCGGCUCGUGGUGUUCCUUCUACAGUUGCUAUUUGCUGUUGAUGAUUGUUCUCCUCCUCCUUUGGGAGAGUAAGAGGGAGAGAAUGUUGUCUCGGUAGU
ensembl:snoRNA U3 Small nucleolar RNA U3